CACAGGAGCCCCGCCGGGAGGGCGCGGCCGCCGGCCCUGUGCGCCUCGGGGCUGCGCGCCCCGCAGAGUCUCGCUCGCAGCGCCCGCAGCUACGGUGCAGCAGCUCUGAACUCGCAGGUCCGGCUUCUCUCAAACAAUACCGAGGCUUUCAUCUCGCUCUACAUAACCUAUGGGACGUAAAUGCUUUUAAUUUAGGAUAGUGUCAUUUUUGCUUAUUUCACCAUUGAGGGUGCAAGUGCUGAAGCUGCAGAAAAGUAUCCUGACUUCUGCACCAGGAGUUCUCCCCAAGAACACCUCCUGUUUCACUCCACAUUGGUGUCAAAUAAACCAGUGUAUGUUGCAUGGACAGCUGUGACUGUGCUCCAGAGCCUUGUAGCAAAAUAGGAAGAGAGUUGAUCUGACAUCCUAUGAGUUUUCCCAUUGUCAGGAAUAUAUGCAGUGCUGCCUUGUGAAUGUGAGCUCGAGCUGCAGCUUUACUGUAGACAGACCAUGCAGAUGGUUUCUUCUUCCCUUCUCCUGGCAUCUGCUUCCACAAAAUUCAUAGAAAGACAAACCUAUUUAAGACUUUCAUUCCUCUUUCAGAUUUGUUUUUAUUAAUCAGUUGGGCCAAAAUUUAUGGAUGGA